CCUACGGGUGGCAGCAGUGAGGAAUAUUGGUCAAUGGCCGGAAGGCUGAACCAGCCAUGCCGCGUGAAGGUCAGUGCCCUAUGGGCGUUAAACUUCUUUUGUGCGGGAGCAAUAAUGGUCACGUGUGGCCAGACGAGAGUACCGUACGAAUAAUCAUCGGCUAACUCCGUGACAGCAGCCGCGGUAAUACGGGGGAUGCAAGCGUUAUCCGGGUUUAUUGGGUUUAAAGGGUGCGUAGGCUGUGAGGUAAGUCAGCUGUGAAAUGCCCCCGCUCAACGGGGUGAAGUGCCAUUGAUACUGCCGUGCUGGAAUGCGGAUGCCGAGGGAGGAAUGUGGUGUGGAGCGGUGAAAUGCAUAGAUAUCACACAGAACACCGAUUGCGAAGGCAUCUCACGAAUCCGCGAUUGACGCUGAUGCACGAAAGCGUGGGUAUCAAACAGGAUUAGAUACCCCGGUAGUC
rnacentral:rRNA from 1 species